rnacentral:misc_RNA from 1 species
AAUUAUCAACUGCUUUGAAUUUUUUUUUGAAGUGAAGUUGGAUUUGGAGUGUUUGCUGGUGAUUUCGAUCAGCUCCUCUUAAAAGCAUUAAAGCCGUCGUUAUUAUUCCUGGCAUUGAAGUAUCUUUGACGUGAUAACUAUCUACGUCGCAGAGAAAGCUUUGAAUGUGUUACGGCUUCAUUACAAAGUCGCCGAUAAGACUUUGCAUCGAUCA